CCCAAACCAAGUCCGGUAGCAACGGCGUCCUGACCUGACCCGAGUGAACGGCUUCAAGAACAGCUGACAGCUUCCUCCCACAGACGGGCACCGCGGUGGGCGCGGCAGCACGCAAGCUCACAGAGCUCCAGCGGUGACUUGGGUGGCUCUGUGGCAACUGCCUGGCCAGCAGUCAAGCCAGUGAUGAAUUCUGCAGGAGGAAGAGAGCCCCUUCUCUCCCCAGUGCUACAGCUCAGCGGAACAGCCAGGCCCAGGGGUCUCUUCGCUGAAGCAGACCGUGUCUUCCCGGCUGAAAGGAAGCAGCAUUUUUGGUGGGGCCUGUUUUAAUCAGUCCUAACGUUGGUGGGCCGCAGCUACGAUGGGGAGAGAACGAGGAGAGCCUGCUUUUCCUUCCUGGCUGUUUUUAUUCCAGACAUCUACUGUGGCUCGUAGAGAGCAGUCUAUGUUUGAGCUCAGGGAGGAAGUCAUGCGGUCACCUAGGUGGCAGGGAAGCUCUUGGACUGGACACCAGCCCCGCCUCUUCUCAUCCAGCAAUAAAAGACUGCUUUUGUUGUGAAGCGACCCCCGCUGGUACUUGGAUCAGCUCCGGCUUCCGGCGCGGCUCCUUGUCACCCGGCAGGACGCGGAAGCACAGCAGCGUCAGCGCCAGCGCCACCUUCAUCUCGUUCAUGGCGAAAGUCUGUCCUAUGCAGUUCCUGCGGGAGGAAUAGAUGGGGACUCUGACUAAGCCCGGACCCAGCCAGUCUCUAAACUUUUACGCGGAACCGAAGUGGAGAGCAGGAAGGAAGUCCGGAAUGCUGACCAUUCCAACCACCUCCUGUCCUCAUGGCAGCCCCGGACAACAUCCUAACAUCCCAGGCUUCACCCUUGCCCUGAUGAGAAGGGAUUAAAAGCCAGAGGCGUCACAGUCAGUCCAAGGUCAUUUCUGCCACUAGUGACCAUCGUUCUACCCAUACCCUUCUCCCACACACUCUGAAGGGCACCUUUGGGGAUGACUCACCUUCCGGACCGAGAAUAUCCUGGGAGCAGCCACCGCGGGAGAUGAUGGUGACUGGGGGGUGCAGCCGCAGACUGCACAUGGUCAGGAAGGGCAGCCCAGCCAGGUCGUCCCUAAGGAGCACACCACACGAUUAUCCAGGAGCAAAAACAAAGCCCUACCCAACCUCGCUAUUGGGUAAGACUUAGCACCUCUCUCUGAUCCUUGGUCAUGUAAGAUGAAUUCCAAAUGGGUCAGGCAGAGUGGUCCGUACCUUUAAUCCCACCCAGCAUAGGGGAGAUAGAAGAAAGAACUCUGUGAUUCUGAAGCCAGCCUGGUCUACACAGACAGCCAGGGAUACAUAGUGAAUCAAUCAGCAGCAGUCCUCCCCCCUCCUCAACAAACUAACUAACUAACUGAAUAAAAUAUUGCUUUUGAGAUUUGGUCUCAUGCAAUCAAGGCUGCCUUCAACUCCUGCCCCUCCUGCCCCCACUUCCCAAGUGUUGAGAUUACAGACUUGAACUUCUGGGCUGGCUCUGGAUGGAAGAUCAUGCAUGAGGGGCUGGAGAGAUGCCUCAGUGCUGCUCCUUCACAGGACCUCGGGGUAAUUCCCAGCACCCAUAGAGCGGCUUACAGCAGUCUAUAUAGCCAUUUCCAGGAGAGAUGAUGCUUUCUUCUGGCCAUUGUGGGUGCCACGUGGCACACACGUAUGUACAGGCAGAAUGCCCAUAUGCCUAAACUUAAAAAGUAUCAUGGGGGCUGGAGAGAUGGCUCAAAGGUUAAGACCACAAACUAAUCAACUGAAAAAUGAGCUAAAUAUGGGUAUGGUGACAUUCUCCUAUAAUCCCAGCACUCAGGACGGGUAGGCAUGAGAAAAGAAGUUUGAGACCGGCUUAGGCUACAUAAAGAUAUUCUUACAGAAAAAAAAGAUAGAUAGAUAGAUAGAUAGAUAGAUAGAUAGAUAGAUAGAUAGAUAGAUAGAUAGAUAGAUAGAUAGAUAUGUAUAUAUAUGAGACAAAGAGAAGGGCUAAAGACCAUAAGGACCUGCACUCACCAUUCAAUCUCCUCAGGCUCUCGGUCCCUCAGGAGCUCCCGCACCUCCUGCCAGCAGCGCUCCUGGUAUUCCGGGUGCCUCGCCAGGCUGUACAGGAUCCAGGAGAGCCCACUGGCUGUGGUGUCCUGGCCUGCAGGCCAGAGAGGAAGGCUGUGCCUCUGGGUUGCUUCAGUGCCAUAAAGAGAGCACCCAGGAAAAAUAAUGAACCAAAAAGAUGGAAGGAAUAGAUGGAUCCAGGACCUUUCCCCCAAAUACCCAUGUCCUCAGGACUAACUGAUCCCAACCCUCCCUGUGGCUUCAUGGGACCUGUGUCCUCUGCUUGGUUGUCCCCAUCUGACAGCUCCUUUCUGUGUUCAUCCUGGAGACAACACGAGACCCUCAAUUCAUGCCACUCAGAGGGCUCCUGAGCCUGACCUGACACAGCUCUGCUACCCAUAGUGAACACAGAACUCCCUCCCACCUUGUUAUUUGCUUUUCCCGCACAGCAUUCAAUAAAAUCACCUCUAAAACUUA